AGCGCAGACGGCGAAGCAAGUCUGAAGUGAAAUGCAUGGGCUCAACCCAUGAAUUGCUUUGGAAACUGUUUGGCUUGAGUGUCGGAGGGGUAAGCGGAAUUCCUAGUGUAGCGGUGAAAUGCGUAGAUAUUAGGAGGAACACCGGAGGCGAAGGCGGCUUACUGGACGACAACUGACGUUGAGACUCGAAGGCGUGGGGAGCAAACA
rnacentral:rRNA from 1 species